GACUUUUACCAUCGAUUGAAAUCGAUUCAAGUUAUUCAUUGAAACGUCAUAGACUACCUUUAAAGGACCUGGAUCUGCUGAAACCAUGGGUCAAUCACACAGUGAGCUAGACGACGAGGUGGCCCUCACACAUAUCCAGGAACUCUACCGAAAGUUCGCCAGCGAGUGUCCCAGUGGCAACAUGCAUUUACAGAAUUCAAGAAAAUCUUUGGAAUUAACAGCGAUUCGAUAGAGGAAUCCGCAUACAUGGACAACGUGUUUCGAUCGUUUGAUACAAACAAUGACAACACAGUAGACUUUAUGGAGUAUGUGGCAGCAGUGCACCUCGUUCUUAGAGAAAAACUCGAGGACCGACUGAGGUGGUCGUUCAAAUUGUACGACAGAGAUGGAAACUGACACCUUCACAAAAAGGAGCUAAAACAAGUUGUCAAAAUCAUCUACAAUAUCAAGAGGCAUGGGAACCCAUCUGAAACAGAGAACCUGACCCCUGAUCAAUUCAAUGACCGGAUCUUUGACCCAGUGGAUAAGAAUAAAGAUUGCAAGGUGUGAGGUGUCUGUCUAGCAAUAGAAAUGUUGUAUCUGUGUAGGCCUGUAUUUGUGCAAUACACUCAUUCCGUUGUGGGUGUAGUAAGGAAAUACAAAAACAUUUCAGCUCGGCAAAUUAAGGUAUAUGCCCAGAGUCAGCAAUGUUGAGAUGACGAGUGCGUGGCCUAAGAGCUCUAUUUUCAUGGCAUCUGACCAUAGCACCACCAGGAGUUUGCUAAACGGCAUUGGCGCUUGGAUCGGAACCGGUGCUAUGGUCAUAUGACACGAAAAUAGAGGUAUUUGGCCUCGGCUUCUUCUUGUUAUUAGCUGAUAGGAGUAGAACCCGGUGUGGUCAUCUGCUGCAGUAACCCAUCUGUGACAAGGACCAUUCUGCACACCACUGUUGUACUGUGCCGUUAUUUGCCUGUUUGUGGCCUGCCUUUUAGCUUGCACGAUUCUUGCCAUUCUCCUUCGACCUCUCAUUAACGAGCUGUUUUCACCCACAGGAUUGCCACUGACUGGUUGUUUUUUGUUUUUCGCACCACUCUUGAAAACCCGAAACACUGUCGUGCGUGAAAAGCCCAGGAGGCCGUCCAUUUCUGAAAUACUGGAACCGGCGUGCCUGGCACUGACCAUCAUAUCACGCUCAAAGUUGCUUGGGUCACUUGUUUUGCCAAUUCUAAUUUUCAUUCAAACAGUAACUGAAUGCCUCCAUGCCUGUCUGCCUGCUUUAUAUAGUAAGCCAUGGCCAUGUGACUCACUGUCUGUAGUAGCGUACUAUUUUUGUGAACUGGGUGGUGUACCUAAUAAACUGGCCACUGAUUAUGUA